GUCCAGACUCCUACGGGAGGCAGCAGUGGGGAAUAUUGGGCAAUGGGCGCAAGCCUGACCCAGCAACGCCGCGUGAAGGAAGAAGGCUUUCGGGUUGUAAACUUCUUUUAAGAGGGAAGAGCAGAAGACGGUACCUCUUGAAUAAGCCACGGCUAACUACGUGCCAGCAGCCGCGGUAAUACGUAGGUGGCAAGCGUUGUCCGGAUUUACUGGGUGUAAAGGGCGUGUAGCCGGGAAGGCAAGUCAGAUGUGAAAUCCGGAGGCUCAACCUCCGAAUUGCAUUUGAAACUGUUUUUCUUGAGUACUGGAGAGGCAGACGGAAUUCCUUGUGUAGCGGUGAAAUGCGUAGAUAUCAGGAGGAACACCGGUGGCGAAGGCGGCCUGCUGGACUGCAACUGACGUUGAGGCCCGAAAGCGUGGGGAGCAAACAGGAUUAGAUACCCCAGUAG
rnacentral:rRNA from 1 species